rnacentral:tRNA from 16 species
UCGUGGUGAAGCCUUCAGGCUUCAAGUCCGUCGUGU